rnacentral:lncRNA from 1 species
GGCGGAGGCUGAGGAGCCUGACCUGGUUUUUCGACUGCUCUCCUUAUGGCCUGACGCUGACAGAGGCAAAAAUCUGCUAACUCAGGGGGCAGACUCAACAAGGGCUUCGAGGAGGCCUGGGAAAUGAUCCCCUGAUCUUCAAAGGGUGCCUUCCACGGCUGGACUGCCAUCUCCAGCUCUCUCUGCCACCCAUGGCUCUUGGCCCUGGCUCUGGCCCUCUUUAAUGUCACUUCUCUUGUGAUACAUGGGCCCUCUGUCUCCUGCCAGGACCAUGAGGCUCUGGAGGCCUCGUAGCCUGGGGGUGGCUCUGGGAGUCUUCAUGACCAUCGGAUUUGGCCUUCAGUUCUUGGGGGGAUCAUUCCA